CCCUCUGGUUGGAGCAUUCUUGAAGAAGAAGAAAAUUUGUGCGAACGCCCACUGUUUAUGUAAGAAAAAGAGAACAGUGGGCAGAGAUUCCAGACUUUCUACUAAAUUCACACUUCCCUUCACCUCUCACACAUACAUUAAACCCUAAUUCACAAAAUCCUAAUCAGUGACAUGGACGCCGCCCAAAAUCCUUUAUGCGCACAAGAAGCACUCGAUCUUCUAAAUUGCACCACUGAGAAACCUUACGAUAAGGAGAAAUGCCAACGUCUGCUCGAAUCCUUGCGCCAAUGCGUCCUUAACAAGAAAAUAAAGAAAUUCUUGCUUGCUGAAGUAAUCUUUGGGAACACAGAAGGGACCACUGAGAAAAGAAGUUAAUCCCUGGUGAAAUCAAAGUGUGAACUGUGAUGUUGAAUUCUUGUAAUUCAGACCACUGGGUACCUUGCUUGUCUAGCGGAAUAGAAUUCUAACUGUUUGUGCUAACAGAAAAUAGAUUUUUGACGUGUAAAAUUAUGGCCUAAAUACAUUGCUGUCAUUUCAUUUUACAUCAAGCAUUUUAAGACUUUCUUAAUGAUCAGAUUUUAGUUUCCUCUUGA